rnacentral:rRNA from 1 species
UUCGUAGGUGGCCAACUAAGUCAGACGUGAAAUCCCUCAGCUUAACUGGGGAACUGCGUCUGAGACUGGAUGGCUUGAGUGCAGGAGAGGAACGCGGAAUUCCAGGUGUAGCGGUGAAAUGCGUAGAUAUCUGGAGGAACACCGGUGGCGAAGGCGGCGUUCUGGACUGCAACUGACACUGAGGAACGAAAGCCAGGGGAGACGAAACG